rnacentral:rRNA from 1 species
UGGCGACCGGCGCACGGGUGAGUAACGCGUAUCCAACCUGCCCUUUACUAUGGGACAGCCCGUCGAAAGGCGGAUUAAUACCGUAUGUUGUCAUGUUGAUGCAUAUUUUCAUGACCAAAGGCUUCGGCCGGUAAAGGAUGGGGAUGCGUCUGAUUAGCUUGCCGGCGGGGUAACGGCCCACCGGGGCGACGAUCAGUAGGGGUUCUGAGAGGAAGGUCCCCCACAUUGGAACUGAGACACGGCCCAGACUCCUACGGAAGGCAGCAG